GUUACAAGUUUUCAGUGUUUGAAGAGAGGAUCAAGAUACAGAUUUAAGACAAAAGGCAUCAAUUACGAUCGUUUAAAUAACUUGCCCAGAGCACAGCAUCUCGUGUACAGCAUGAAGUUUUCAGCUAUCAAGAUUUCUAGAGACUCCAGAAUGAAAACCAAGCCCUGCACUGCAAAAAAAUGAAUGUCUUUCUUAGUUUUCUUUUGUCUUGUUUUCUAAUAUUAAUAUCUGAAAAUUCUUAAAUUGAGAUACACUGACUUGGUAAGCAAGUGGCUUAAGAUAUUAAGUUUUGUUUAUUGAAAUAAAUGAUGGAAAUCAAGAGGUUUUUGUUUACUUAAAACAAGUCAAAAUAUUUACCUGUGCAGUAAGAAAAAUAAACUUAAUUCCAGUUUCAACUUGAUCAACUUAAUUUAAGUUUAUUUUUCUUACUGCAUUGGCAGAUAUUUUGACUUGUUUUAAGUAAAAAGAA